AGUAUACAGAGCGCAGCGUGUUUUCUUGAGUGCCAGCAAGGACCCCAGAGGUGUGCUGGAGGAAAAGAUCUCAAGGCUGUUGAAAUGUCAGAUGGUAAAAACAACCAAGAGUUCCAGAUGGGGCAAUCGGAAGAGAAACAUGCUGAAGAUGAUAAUGAGAAAGUUCUGGAUUCUCUCAACUGGGAGUCCCAUGUCCUCACCUGUGGCUUCCAAACACAAUCACUGUUCAAGUCUUGUGCAAAGCAGCAUGCCAUGAGGAAGUUCUUCAUUAUCAGGGAGUGUUCGACCAAACCAGAGAAGAUCCUUGUCGUGAAGAGUUCAGGGGAAACGUCACAGAGCUCUUCGCUGUUAAGUGGGAGGUCAUGA
rnacentral:lncRNA from 1 species